ensembl:lincRNA
AUGCUCUCCAAUAACAGCCUGGAGGCUUUAAGUGGCAGAUAUAUAAAAAAGCUUCUGCCUUGCCCCACAAGGCUUCCAGACUCCUUCUGGAUGGCUUGUUCAUUUGUCUUCUUCUAAGGUAAGACUACUAUGGGGUGGAAAAAUGCUUGUACGCCCACUAGGUGCUGUGAAGGCAACCUUGAAUCCUCUAAUUAUGUGUUCAUAAUCUACUCCGUCUUCCCAGGGAGUAAAUAAGUGAGGUAAGAGAGGUUUGGGGAGGGAUGAAGCAGGGAUGAAGUCCCUGUAAAAGACCCCAAACAAUCUAAUAUGAGAGCAAGCCACAGAGACCAGAAAAGCCAGAGCAUCAGAGGAGAGACAUGCAGAUUUGUGGGGUCUCAGAGCACAGUGAGACUAUGUGAGGAAGAGCAGAGCCUUGGUUCUCCUUCAUGCGUGACCAUGGCAGACCUCGGCCUUGGCAAAGCGGACCAUCACAUCAGCUCAACAUGCUUGUGUGCAUCCACUGAGCAAUGUCACAGCAGAAGCAGCAAUCUCAGGAGGCUCCAGCUGCUCCCAAAGGUUCUCCUGCCCAGUGCCCAAAUCUCUACCUGGCUCUCUGCUCUGUUCCUUGUGGGGCUUCCUGUUCAGGAGGCUGCCAUUCCUGUUCCCAAAAGCAGCAGGCUCAGAGUCCAGCCUGCCCCAGGAGGGCUCGCCGCCAGAAGCCCAGCUGUCUCAGUGGUGGUAGAGUCCACUAUUGCAAAGAGGAGGAAUGCUAAGGCGACCUGGUGCAGAGGACUGAGGCACCGGUACGACCGCUCUCACCUCAGCCUAACCUUGUGUACUAAUUCUAAGUGGAAGUCCAGGCCUCCACGUCUCACUGGGCUGAGAAACACUUCCUGCCCGCAGCCUUGGAGAAGUGAGAACUGGGCUAAGCAGCUCUUCUGCUUUUCUCUCCUAUCCACCCCUUCAGCUCAGCCACAGUACAGCUGUGUGGCUGAAGUGUGCCUGUAGCUUCCGGGAAUCCUUGAGCCCCUGAGGCCCAAGUGGAUGGUGUCCCUCCUUUUUUCCCUUCCCAGAUGGUCCGUGUAGUUGAUGUCUUUUUAAAGAAACAAGGGCUUGGGGACUGGAAUUCUAGUUCUUAUCAACGUCACAACCAUGAACAUUUAUCAUACAGGAUUCUAGCCCUGACGGCUGCAAUGCAAUACACCCAGGUUGUGCACCUACUGUGUGCUGCCCUCGCACUCACAGAUAUAAGCAGGAGAUUUGACUGCUGCUCUAGAAAAAUCUUAUAUGUAAUGAAAGAAGCAAUGCAACCUCCAGAUUGAAACACAUGGAUCAAUAAAUGUAAUUUUAACCAGAUUAAAUCUUCAGUGCGUGUCAUAAAGAAAUUCAAGCAAUCAUAAUAAUCAUAAUAAUAUUCAAAAAAAGGUCAUAGGUAGCAGUAAGAAACUCAUUCUGGUGGAGUGGGCCAGAAAUGGUUUCUGGGCCUUGGAGGGAGAGAUCAGAAAUAGGAAGUGCACCCCAUUUGGAGAUGAGGAGCACCUGCUUCAUGGAAUAGGAAGCAUUCAAACAGGGCCCUUCAUCUUGUUUUUUUUUUUUUUUUUUGGUUUUUCUCUGG